AGCAGCCGCCGCGGGAAUACGGAGGGAGCUAGCGUUGUUCGGAAUCACUGGGCGUAAAGCGCACGUAGGCGGCUAUUCAAGUCAGGGGUGAAAGCCCGGGGCUCAACCCCGGAACUGCCUUUGAAACUAGAUAGCUUGAAUCUUGGAGAGGCGAGUGGAAUUCCGAGUGUAGAGGUGAAAUUCGUAGAUAUUCGGAAGAACACCAGUGGCGAAGGCGACUCGCUGGACAAGCAUUGACGCUGAGGUGCGAAAGCGUGGGGAGCAAACAGGAUUAGAUACCCGAGUAGUCCCUGUCUCUUAUAC
rnacentral:rRNA from 1 species